AUUGAACGCUGGCGGCAUGCUUUACACAUGCAAGUCGAACGGUAACAGCCGCAAGGUGCUGACGAGUGGCGACCGGGUGAGUAAUGCAUCGGAACGUGCCCAGUCGUGGGGGAUUACUACUCGAAAGAGUAGCUAAUACCGCAUACGAACUAUGGCUGAAAGCGGGGGACCGUAAGGCCUCGCGCGAUUGGAGCGGCCGAUGUCAGAUUAGGUAGUUGGUGGGGUAAAGGCUCACCAAGCCAACGAUCUGUAGCUGGUCUGAGAGGACGACCAGCCACACUGGGACUGAGACACGGCCCAGACUCCUACGGGAGGCAGCAGUGGGGAAUUUUGGACAAUGGGCGCAAGCCUGAUCCAGCAAUGCCGCGUGCAGGAAGAAGGCCUUCGGGUUGUAAACUGCUUUUGUACGGAACGAAACGGCUCUGGUUAAUACCCGGGGCUAAUGACGGUACCGUAAGAAUAAGCACCGGCUAACUACGUG
rnacentral:rRNA from 1 species